AAAAUACUAAUUUCAGCCUCCAACGAACUACCGAAAGGCCCGAUCCAAAAAUAGAGCGACCAUCAUCGCGAUCGAUAAAUCGAGCACGAGCUAGUGUUUCGUACGGACAACAUGGGCUCCACCACUUCUUUCUUGCUCCUCUCCGUCCUCUGCCCGCACCCGCAGGACCAAGCCUGUCGCCGACCGCUCCUCCCACCAGCGCUGCCCCUUCCUCCCACCAGCAGUGCCUCCUCCUCUACUCCUCCCACCAGCGUCGACGAGGAGGAGGGAGAAGGAGCUCUCGGCCGACGGCGGGGAGGGAGAAGGAGCUCCUCCACCCGUCCAGUGCCGCCGUCACCCCUUUCUCCAGCGCCGCCACCCGUCCAGCGCCACCGCCGCCCCUUCCUCCAGCGCCGCCGUACCUCUUUCCACUGCCGUCCAGCGCCGCCACCGAUUUUCGAUCGUCUAUUGGAGAACGACGUUCUUCGAUCCUCAUUCGGCAACCCCGAUACGACCGAUUUCAAGAAUAGGUCUCCAAUUUCGGUCUCCACUGUUGGAGACACCCUUAUGGCUCGGGGAAUAGCUCGCCCCUGGGAGCUACUGGCCCCACCUGUCAUUCAGCAAAGGUCUAAAAUACAUGCACACAUUUUUGAGCGCCGACAUGUGGGUCCCCAGUUACUGCGCGUGAAUUCCACGCCCUCACGUUUGCCCUACCUCGCCCUCCCGAUCGCGUCUCCUGCGGCGCCGCCGCCCGCCGCCCAUGCCCCGCUCUCCUCUCCUCCUGCCUCCUUGCCCCUCACCACCGUCGCUUCAGCACGACCCGCUCUCUACGCCGCUUUUCUCUAGAUGAAAUCCGUGUCCCCUCCUCCCCCACCAUGGCCGCCGCCUCGCUCCUUCUCCCCGCCGACCCACGGCUGCAGCAACGCUCUUCGAGGGCACCCCAUGGUGCUUGAGAUCCGCCUUCUCACCGCAAGUGCCUGUGUGAACAGCACCGCGCGACUUUUACCCCGACGUCACCGCCUUGGUACCGCACGUCCUUUUCGGGGAGCACGGCGAGAAGCUCGACCACCACAGGGCUGUUGCAGGGAAGUGCGGUCGUCGACGCGUCGAGCGCUGUGCAGAUCUACGUGCACGUCCCAUCGUCGUCGCCGACCCUCGCAGCAGAUCGCCUCCGCCAGAUCUGAGCCCACUUCCCCACGAUGAAAUCUACAGCAAUAAUCAACCCGCUCGGUGACAUAGAUGGUGAGGGUGACUUCGUUUGGUAAUCAUUUCCCAUCCCUUAAGAAUCAGUAAUUCGCGUUUCUUGCAUGUUCUCCACACCGGAUCCGAACCCGAUGUCCCCCACUCCGAUAGCCUGUUGUUCAAACUUUUUUAUUUUGGACGGGACUAUGGAUCAGAUUUACUUUUUGAAGUUAGAUUAGGUGAGUGUUAGUUUUUGAAGCUGAAUUCGAAGCUUAUUUCCACCUUUUUUUCAUUAUCAUACCAAGUGAUUAGAGUUAGUAAUCAUAUUGUGUGCCAUGGACGGUUAAAACACGCCCAUGCUGAAUUCAUUUGCGCAGGAAUGUAUACUGGUGUUCAGGAUGCACAUAACUUGGCUUGGAAAUUGCACUCACUUCUGAAUGGUGCUGCUUCACCAUCAAUAGUGUGGACUUAUGAGUCAUCACCACUAUUUUGUGUUUAUGCUUCUUGCCAUCUUCAGUUUCUUAUUAAGGGGCAUCGCUCUUGGGUUUCGAAUAUAUAUUGUCACUUCUGUUUGACUGCUAUGAGGAAUCUACAGUCAGGUUCAAAUAGGUGGCAACGAGGUGGAGGUCCAGAAAGGUAUGACUCCUGUCAAACAUGCACUUUAAAUCCAUCUAAAUUAACUCCAAAUGCAUUUAUUUGGAUGUUGUUUGACUUUUUGUUUAACCUUGCUCAAUCUCUCUUUUUUCCCCUUCUGUUCUAACCGUGGUUUACCCUCCAUAUUCAAACGAGGAAUUGUGAUUUGGACUCAUGAAGAUGCAGGAGGUCAAAUAACUCGAGUUGAUGGUUCAAAUGUUGAUAGAUUGUAGUAUGCUCCAUUUGUCUCCGGACACAGGUCCUUCCAAUUUCCUUGAUUCGUCAUCCACUCAAGUUCAGCGACCACUUGCAUCUCAGCUCAUCCACGUGGGAACAUACUAAGUUGUGUUUCCUAUGCAGGAAUACUUGAUUCUGCAUUUGUGCUGUCACAAGAACGAGAACAAACAUAUAAAACCAGCAGGAUGGAAUACGAACUCUUGAAGAGUGUUAAUUCCCAAUCACACCAGUGGGCCAUCAAAGCUUUCAUAGUCAGGAUCUGUGAGCAAUUAGGCAAUGAAAACCCGCCUAAGUUUCAAUGGAUUGACCUGAUCCCGAUGAGGAGGGCACUGCAAUAGAGGCCAGAUCUCGUGGAACUGGGUUCUCCAAGACCAAAAUAAAGGAAGACCAUGUAUACUACAUAAAAUUCUUUCAGGUCAGAGACUACUGAGGUGCUUAUCGUUCAGUGCCUCAUUCUUACAUGAUGCGUUUCACGUCACACAUAAAGAUUCAAGAGGCGCAAUCUGUCCGGAAUCCUUUCCAAAAUAUGCACAAAUUGUUGUCCCCUUUGAGAACAGUUCCAGAUUUGGGAAAAAUGAAUACCUCUCAGAUGCUCUUGGUAUUUUCACUGGAUGCACACAUGUUAAGCUACAGAAGAUAGCAAAUGGAACAAAGCCACUACAAAACAUUUUUUAUUACUGAUGGCCAAGAAACAGCGUCAGUCUCUAUGGCGACCACAUGCUGAAUAUUUUGAGGAUGAAACUUGCCGCCGAACAGCCUUUAGCCAUGCUCUUCUGUGCAAUGACAUGUCACAUUUAUGAUGGUAAUUGGCUCUUAAAGCUGCUCCAAAAUAGAGCUUGACUGUUGUUCCAAGGGCUUCCAGGUUGCUGCCGAUCCAGGUGUCAAUUUUGUAUGGAACAUGACCUUUGAACUACCUAAUCAAAUGGUUUUUGUGUACUCUGCACAAGCACCUGAGUCAUGGAACCUUUUGUGCUUAGCUGUUGGGUGAAUAGCAUUUUUAGGUUUUAGCAUUGUGUGAUUCACUUGACUACAGAUAAAUGGCUAAAAUGUCUAGCUGUAUGUUUUGGGUAUCCAAGUCAAUAUCGACUUUCAUUUUUUAAGGCUAUGAUUAUUAUAUGAUUC